rnacentral:rRNA from 1 species
CCUACGGGUGGCAGCAGUGAGGAAUAUUGGUCAAUGGCCGAGAGGCUGAACCAGCCAAGUCGCGUGAGGGAAGACGGCCCUACGGGUUGUAAACCUCUUUUGUCGGGGAGCAAAGCGAGUCCCGUGUGACGUUCCGAGAGUACCCGAAGAAAAAGCAUCGGCUAACUCCGUGCCAGCAGCCGCGGUAAUACGGAGGAUGCGAGCGUUAUCCGGAUUUAUUGGGUUUAAAGGGUGCGCAGGCGGAAGAUCAAGUCAGCGGUAAAAUUGAGAGGCUCAACCUCUUCGAGCCGUUGAAACUGGUGGUCUUGAGUGAGUGAGAAGUAUGCGGAAUGCGUGGUGUAGCGGUGAAAUGCAUAGAUAUCACGCAGAACUCCGAUUGCGAAGGCAGCAUACCGGCGCUCAACUGACGCUCAUGCACGAAAGUGUGGGUAUCGAACAGGAUUAGAUACCCUUGUAGUC